UUGUCUAAUACACAUGGAAAGACUAAAUCACAAGAGGAAAUUUUUCCUGUGACUUCUAGCAACGGUUACCGUGAUGAAAUUUGGGAACCAUAAAAUCAAAGAAAUCUAACCACCUAGCCAAUGCCUGAGACAUCUAUAUUACCAAAUGUUCUCCAAAUCUGCCAGACUCAGUGAACUCCCAGCGUUAUGGUACACUUGAAAGAGUACACAUGACAAGCCAGAAGGAUGAAAAGAACGUGGAAUGGAUAUGUUGAUUCAUACCUUUACAUAAUGGAAAUGAGCUGAGAAGCCUUUACAACAGCAGGAACACUAGCCAGACUUCUGCCAAUCGCUAAUAUGUGACUUUGAGCAAAUUUCAAAGCCAAGAUGUGGAAACAGAAACUGUGCAUUAUAUAAACAAGGCUUGUUACCUCAGACCCAAAGAGAGCCUUGGUCAAACAAUAGUCAAUCAAUAGUCUUCUCAGCAGGUGGAUCAUAGAUUCAAGGCGACAGAUGCUGAUGCAAAGAAUGAGGACACACAGCUGUUAUGAGACACACAUGCGUACUGCUGGUCAAAGCCAACCAUCUCCCGCUUUUUCAACUGUGGAGCUGAUGCAAUCCCAUGGGGGAACCUGUCUGGUAUCCAGAGGAAAAUAGCAUGGAAUGAGAGUCUUAGGAGAAAUUUGACUCACAAGACUAUGGUGGAUGACAAGUCCCAGUAUCUACAUCAGCAAGCUGGAGACCCAGAAGAGGUGAUGGUGUAAUUCCAGUUCAAGUCUAAUGGGCUGGAGACCCAGGAAGAGCCAUUGCUUUCAUUCAAGUCCAAAGGAAAACAAAUAAAAAAAUACUUAUGUCCCAUCUUGACUUUAGUUUUGCAGAAGGAAUUCUUUCAUACAGACUUUUUGUUCUAUUAAAGUCUUCAACUAAUUGGAUGACACCCAUCCAAAUUGGGGAUGGC
rnacentral:lncRNA from 1 species